rnacentral:snRNA from 1 species
AAUGCUUCUCAGCCUUUUGCUAAGAUCAAGUGUAGUAUCUGUUCUUAUCAGUUUAAUAUCUGAUACGUCCUCUAUCCAAAGAGAAUAUAUUAAAUGGACUUUUGGAGAGGAGGGGGGAGAGGAAGGGAGAGGGAGGGAGGGAGAGAGAGAGAGAGAGUAUUCUUGUUAUGGGGGCAUGCUCAUAAUCUUCUAACAUUA